GGGGUCAACAUACAUAUCGUCAGAAAGCGGCUUAUGCUAUCGCUAAGUAGCACGUUUUGCUAUUUAUUCGUUUCAAUGACAAAAGUUUUUUCAAAACCUAUUUGUUUGAAAGACUACUAUUAAAAAAAAUAGUUAAGAGUUUCGAUCGCGUCACUGAUAUUGAGAAAAUAGUUUAUCGUAAAUCAGAUACUUACAGCACUCUUCGUUUCGGAUACUACAUCAUAAACGUAAACAACUAGGUUUUAGCCAAGAAAUGGAACUAGCAGACGCAGUGAAACAAUAAGCAGACGAAAAUGAGACGUCCUUUUUAAAUUAUUGUAAUGGAACCCAUCGUUGAAGUGAUUAUUGUCUGAGGGUCGGCGAUCGAUAGUAGGCAUACCAUGGAUAGAGAGCAUUUGAGCAAGUUGAACAGCAUGAAUCCUUAGGGUUGAAAAGCAACGUAAUCUCGCUUAUUGUAAGGUUGGCAUUGUUUGUUGAGUGCAUCUCUAAGAAUCCCGUUUAAUUCCUGGGUACUAUGUAAUCCAACGUCAAUAAACACAACUAACAUUUCAGGUGAA